rnacentral:lncRNA from 10 species
GCCACAGGGUCCUCUUCCAAAGUGGCUCUCUCUCGUGGCUGGCACAUUGGUGCUGGCAGUUAGCUGGGGGCCUCAGUUCCUCUCCCUGUGGGUCUCUCCAUAGAGCUGCUUGAGUGUCCACAGGGCGUGGCGGCCGGCUUCCUCAGGAGCCUGCAAUCCAGGAGACCAGGGUGAAAGCUGCAAGAUCUUUUAGGAUCUGGCCUUGGAAGGCACACACCAUUACUCCUGCCAUAUGGGGCCAGCCCUGAUGCAGCAUGGGAGGUGAUCACCAAGGAUGUGAAUACCAGGAGGAAACGAAGAUCAUUGGGGCCAUCCAGGAGGCUGGCUACCACAGUUGUGGUUGUGAAUAUUAGAAGUACAGGG